rnacentral:tRNA from 1 species
GCCCCGGUAGCUCAGUGGAUAGAGCAGCACGGUCCUAACGUGACGGUCGUAGGUUCGAUCCCUAUCCGGGGUU